rnacentral:rRNA from 1 species
UACGAAGGGUGCUAGCGUUGUUCGGAAUUACUGGGCGUAAAGCGCGCGUAGGCGGCCAUUCAAGUCAGAGGUGAAAGCCCGGAGCUUAACUCCGGAACUGCCUUUGAAACUGUAUGGCUUGAGUGUCGGAGGGGAUAGCGGAAUUGCCAAUGUAGAGGUGAAAUUCGUAGAUAUUAGAAGGAACACCGAUGGCGUAGGCAGGCUACUGGCUCAUUGCUGACACUAAGGCACGAAAGCGUGGGGAGCGAACGGG